rnacentral:rRNA from 1 species
UACAGAGGUGGCAAGCGUUGUUCGGAAUUACUGGGCGUAAAGGGCGCGUAGGUGGCCUUCUUAGUCAGACGUGAAAUCCCCGGGCUUAACUCGGGAACCGCGUCUGAUACUGGAAGGCUCGAGUUCGGGAGAGGAAUGUGGAAUUCCAGGUGUAGCGGUGAAAUGCGUAGAUAUCUGGAGGAACACCGGUGGCGAAGGCGGCAUUCUGGACCGAAACUGACGCUGAGGCGCGAAAGCCAGGGGAGCAAACGGG